rnacentral:misc_RNA from 1 species
GAAAUGCGCUAAGUAGUGUGAAUUGCAGAAUUCAGUGAAUCAUCGAAUCUUUGAACGCACAUUGCGCCCCUUGGUAUUCCAUGGGGCAUGCCUGUUCGAGCGUCAUUUGUACCCUCAAGCUCUGCUUGGUGUUGGGUGUUUGUCCCCGUCUCCGCGCGUGGACUCGCCCCAAAGUGAUUGGCAGCCGGCGUACUGGUCCCGGAGCGCAGCACAUGUCGCGCAAACGAGUGCCUUGGUACGGCGGCGUCCAUAAGCCCCUCUCUCACGCUCUUGACCUCGGAUCAGGUAGGGAUACCCGCUGAACUUAAGC